rnacentral:lncRNA from 1 species
UCCCAGGUCUACAUCAUCCCAGGUCUACUAACUACUCUACAUCAUCCCAGGUCUACAUCAUCCCAGGUCUACUAACUACUCUACAUCAUCCCAGGUCUACAUCAUCCCAGGUCUACUAACUACUCUACAUCAUCCCAGGUCUACUAACUACUCUACAUCAUCCCAGGUCUAACUAA